ensembl:lncRNA
GGCCAAUGUGCAUACGUAAUGUGUUGGCAGCAGCAGCAGUCCGGCACGUUCGAUAGAAGUGGCCGAGGGAGCUCAACGCACUGCAACUUAUGGAAAUGUGUUGCUUAGGAACCCUAUCAGAUUAAUGUCCUGCCUAUCGAGUCACCCUCCCAAUUUCCUGUAGUCAUGUCCCGCCUUCUGGCAGACGGUCCCCUGGAGCCAGAACUGGUGUGAAGACCGAGGAAAGAAGGAGCAGAGGUGAUGAGGGCAAGAGUGUAAGAAAGAGGCAUGAAGCCAAUGAGACAGAUGGAAAAAUUAAGAAAAAAAGAG